rnacentral:rRNA from 1 species
GACGUAGGGCGCGAGCGUUGUCCGGAUUUAUUGGGCGUAAAGAGUUCGUAGGCGGUUUGUCGCGUCUGCUGUGAAAACCCGAGGCUCAACCUCGGGCCUGCAGUGGGUACGGGCAGACUAGAGUGCGGUAGGGGAGAUUGGAAUUCCUGGUGUAGCGGUGGAAUGCGCAGAUAUCGGGAGGAACACCCGUGGCGAAGGCGGCACUCUGGGACGGUACUGACGCUGAGACGCGAAAGCGUGGGGAGCAAACAGG